rnacentral:rRNA from 1 species
ACGACUCUCGGCAACGGAUAUCUCGGCUCACGCAUCGAUGAAGAACGUAGCAAAAUGCGAUACUUGGUGUGAAUUGCAGAAUCCCGUGAACCAUCGAGUUUUUGAACGCAAGUUGCGCCCGGAGCCACUUGGCCGAGGGCACGUCUGCCUGGGCGUCGCA